rnacentral:rRNA from 1 species
UACAGAGGUCCCAAGCGUUGUUCGGAUUCACUGGGCGUAAAGGGUGCGUAGGCGGUCGGGUAAGUCUGAUGUGAAAUCUCACAGCUUAACUGUGAAACUGCAUUGGAUACUAUUCGGCUUGAGAGUUGGAGGGGGGACUGGAAUUCUUGGUGUAGCAGUGAAAUGCGUAGAUAUCAAGAGGAACACCAGUGGCGAAGGCGAGUCCCUGGACAGUAACUGACGCUGAGGAGCGAAAGCGUGGGGAGCGAACAGG